AGCGAACGCUGGCGGCAGGCUUAACACAUGCAAGUCGAACGCCCCGCAAGGGGAGUGGCAGACGGGUGAGGAACACGUGGGAACGUACACUUCGGUUCGGAAUAACUCAGGGAAACUUGUGCUAAUACCGGAUACGUCCGAAAGGAGAAAGAUUUAUCGCCGCAGGAUCGGCCCGCGGCUGAUUAGCUUGUUGGUGAGGUAACGGCUCACCAAGGCGACGAUCAGUAGCUUGUCUGAGAGGAGGAUCAGCCACACUGGGACUGAGACACGGCCCAGACUCCUACGGGAGGCAGCAGUGGGGAAUAUUGGACAAUGGGAGCAACCCUGAUCCAGCCAUGCCGCGUGAGUGAUGAAGGCCUUAGGGUUGUAAAGCUCUUUUGUCCGGGAAGAUAAUGACGGUACCGGAAGAAUAAGCCCCGGCUAACUUCGUGCCAGCCGCCGCAGUAA
rnacentral:rRNA from 1 species